UACGGAGGGUGCAAGCGUUAAUCGGAAUUACUGGGCGUAAAGCGUGCGCAGGCGGUUUGUUAAGUCUGUUGUGAAAUCCCCGAGCUCAACUUGGGAAUUGCAAUGGAUACUGGCAGGCUGGAGUAUGGUAGAGGAAGGUGGAAUUCCCGGUGUAGCAGUGAAAUGCGUAGAGAUCGGGAGGAACACCGGUGGCGAAGGCGGCCAGCUGGCGCUGACCUGACGCUGAGGCGCGAAGGCAUGGGGAGCGAACGGG
rnacentral:rRNA from 1 species